ACCUAGCUGCGGAUAACCUCUACAUUCAACCGAUCCUGCAUCUGGACAUCGCAGCACGGACAUCGCACAUGGAACAGGUCGGGGAGGGGUUUAGUGGGUAGGCGUCGAUUCGCCGGCAGUAUGUCGAUGUGAUCGAUGAAUCCCACACUAUCCGGGUACCGAGAGGCUACCCGGGGGGUCUUGCGAAGAUUCUCCUCCUCGUUAAC
rfam:Anopheles stephensi strain SDA-500 unplaced genomic scaffold supercont1.35, whole genome shotgun sequence.